rnacentral:rRNA from 1 species
CUACGGGAGGCAGCAGUGGGGAAUAUUGCACAAUGGGCGCAAGCCUGAUGCAGCCAUGCCGCGUGUGUGAAGAAGGCCUUCGGGUUGUAAAGCACUUUCAGCGGGGAGGAAGGCGUUAAGGUUAAUAACCUUGUCGAUUGACGUUACCCGCAGAAGAAGCACCGGCUAACUCCGUGCCAGCAGCCGCGGUAAUACGGAGGGUGCAAGCGUUAAUCGGAAUUACUGGGCGUAAAGCGCACGCAGGCGGUCUGUCAAGUCGGAUGUGAAAUCCCCGGGCUCAACCUGGGAACUGCAUUCGAAACUGGCAGGCUAGAGUCUUGUAGGGGGGGGUAGAAUUCCAGGUGUAGCGGUGAAAUGCGUAGAGAUCUGGAGGAAUACCGGUGGCGAAGGCGGCCCCCUGGACAAAGACUGACGCUCAGGUGCGAAAGCGUGGGGAGCAAACAGGAUUAGAUACCCGGGUAGUC